ACGCAUGCGCAGGAGCCGCCCUGCGCGGGUGGGGGGCUGAGCCCCUGUGGCUUCAGGUUUAAAGGCGCGAGCGCCACCCACGCAGGCACAAGGGCUCCUAGUCGUUUUAUUUUUAGCGUAAGGUUUUCCUCUUUAACAAGGAAGUAAAAAAAAAAGUUGUGCAAUAAAUAUUAAUCGUCCUUAUAUGUACUCGGGAACGUUCGUCCUUUAGGUUUUCUCCUGGCGCAUGGGCGCCGCCAAUCAUUUCGGGGCUUAUUUUGGUUCUAAAGCCCGGGGCAGCCAGGCCUCCCUGCCUGGCCUCGGCGGGGACGCGGGACCUGGGGCCCCGGACCGGGCCUAACCGCCCUGGCCGGUCCCCACUGAUGGUGGCGGUCGGUCCUGAUCGUCCUGAUGGCAGCGACCAGGCUGGACUCGGGCUGUGCAGGGGCGAGGGGAGCAGGGCGGGGUGACGCCCGGAGAGCGGCCUGGAGAGCGCGUGCUUCAGAAGGCGUGGGCACCCUGUCCCCUUUGCAGAUGGGGAUGCAGGCCCUGGUGGCGGUGGAGGGGAGAUGGGGGCAGGGACGUUGCCGGGCAGAGGAAGCUGGCCAUUCCUGGGGGAUUCCUGGGAGCCAUGUGGGAGAGGCGUGAGGAAGUGAGACCUUCACCCCGAGACAGGUCCUGACACACCCUCUGGUGCCUCUACUCAAGUGAGAAGUUUGGCUGCUGUAACUGACUGGGAAGCUUAAAAUAACAGACAAUCAUCUCUCACAUUUAUGGGGACUGGGAAGUCCAAGACCAAGUUGCCAUCUGGGGAGGGCCUGUUCCUCACAGCGCCUUCCAGCUCAGGCCUCGUUUAUAAGGGCACUCAAGCCUUCCACGACAACGGGUCCUCAUGACUUACUCACCUCGGAAAGCCCCACCCCCAAGACCAUCACAUUGUGGGUGAUGGCAGAGCAUAAGGUGCCUUCCCCACAUGCUCGGGUUGGCCCAGCGUCUCACGCUAGCAGCUACGUGGAAUAGUUAUUUUUUCUGGAGAACUCUGGGACCCCUCUGAUGUCUUGGAGCACCCACACAGGCCGUUCACUGUGCACGCUGUGAGGCUGUCGUCUUGGAGCACCCACACAGGCCGUUCACUGUGCACGUGGUGAGGCUGUCCUCUGGGGAGUUCUGCUGUUGUAUGGGUUCUGUCUGUGUCAAUGUCCCAGCGGGAACGCAGGGCACACUAGCGUCAUCCCCAGAGGGCUUGGUAAGGGGACUGUUUGCAGAGACAUAGGCAGAGGGCUGGAAAACUACCAAAAAAGUGCAGUGUUCUGGACCUAAUAAUAGCAGAGCUAUUCUCACCCUGGUCUGAAGGCAGGAGGGGAGGAGCAGUUAAUGGAUUCUGGAAGUCAGGUUGCACAGAGUCACCUUGAAAGAUGCCAUGACCUUCACCGAGGGCCAGACAGAGACUAAGAUGACCCCAUAGGAGAAUAAGACCUAGACCUCAUCCUCCUGCCUCCUGCCAGUCCCUGCCAGGGGUCGCCAAUGGCAAAACAGGACUGGAAGCCAGAGGCCAUGGAAGCCCAUGGAUGAAGUCCACAGGCCAGCCUCCCCGAGAGCAGCCUGGACGGUCCGCAGGAGACGUCUCCUGUCUUAGGCGUCCCACGCCGCGUGCUCCUGUUCAGCCCUGCCGAGGUGGAAGCUUGGAGUGGCUCACGGUGGAUGCAUUGACGCUGCAGACGCCAGCAAGUGCUACAAACCAGAGCUGGCCUUUAACUCAGACUGAUGGAGAAGGUGUUAAUAAUGCAGAUUAGACUUAAAAGUGUUGAAGCCAUUGCACUGUGAACAGCAAAAAAAUUGAAGAACUCUUCUGGCAUUUAAAAACAAUUACUCAGUUCAGCAGAGAAGUCACUGACAAACGAGAUCACACUGACUGCUUUGUCGUUUUGGUUUUGUCUUACUCAUUAAUGCAAAUAAGAACAUUCACUAGCAUCUGUGUCGGGCCUACCCUCCCUGGUCAAAUACAGCUACAGUCUCCCUGCAGAAACGAGUUUUCCAGAAAUGAGCCGAUGUUUUCUGCGAGAAUCAAUUGGUCAUAUACAAUUUACAAAAAUGAGUACUGUAUACUAUAUUUGUAAACUGUACACUGCAGAUGCUUUAUUUCACUGAAAUUUAUAAUACACUUAUCCAUGUAUAUGCAUGCAUGCAUUUUUGUUCCUGAGAUCCAGCUGUGAAAUGUUUACCAGCACAUAAAUUACCAGCACAUGCUCUUUUUUGUUAACCUACUAGGUAAAAUCUUCAUUUAUUACAUCAAA
ensembl:lncRNA LINC03014 long intergenic non-protein coding RNA 3014